ensembl:lncRNA
AUGGUUAUCGUGGUGUUUAUGGUCUGAUUCCCAGUCAGAUGUACAGUAUGGUGUUUAUGAUCUGAUUCCCAGUCAGAUGUACAGUAUGGUUAUAGUGGUGUUUACGGUCUCCUUCCUCCCUUCCUUUCUUCCAGGGAGGUGCUGGUAUCAGAGGAGCCAGGGGAGAUCGAGGGGAGCCAGGCAAUGUGGGGCCUCAAGGACUAGUUGGUGAUAAAGGUCCUUCUGGACCACAGGGCCCCCCUGGUCCUCAAGGGCCUAGUGGACAUUCCAUCCAGGGACCACCGGGUGGUGAUGGUGAAAAGGGAGAAAAGGGAGAUGUUGGUUUACCAGGACCUCAGGGUGUUGGUGGAUCUCCUGGCGGAUCAGGAAGAGAUGGACCAGUUGGACAGAGGGUAACAGUCUAUUCAUUUUGU